rnacentral:rRNA from 1 species
GAUGAACGCUGGCGGCGUGCCUAAUACAUGCAAGUCGAGCGAACGGACGAGAAGCUUGCUUCUCUGAUGUUAGCGGCGGACGGGUGAGUAACACGUGGAUAACCUACCUAUAAGACUGGGAUAACUUCGGGAAACCGGAGCUAAUACCGGAUAAUAUUUUGAACCGCAUGGUUCAAAAGUGAAAGACGGUCUUGCUGUCACUUAUAGAUGGAUCCGCGCUGCAUUAGCUAGUUGGUAAGGUAACGGCUUACCAAGGCAACGAUGCAUAGCCGACCUGAGAGGGCAGCCGCCCAAACUGGAAUUAGGACCCGGCCAAGACUCCAAGGGGAGGCAGCGGUGGGAAAUCUCCCGAAUGGGGGGAAACCCUAAGGAACCAACCCCGGGGGGGUAAGGAGGUCCUCGGAAUGGAAAAACUUUUUUUGAGGGAAAAAAAAUAUGUGAAAGAAACUGUCCAAAUUUUGAGGUACCUAAACCAAAAACCCCCGGUAAACUACG